rnacentral:rRNA from 1 species
AUUGAACGCUGGCGGCAGGCUUAACACAUGCAAGUCGAGCGGGGAAGGGUAGCUUGCUACCUGACCUAGCGGCGGACGGGUGAGUAAUGCUUAGGAAUCUGCCUAUUAGUGGGGGACAACAUUCCGAAAGGAAUGCUCAUACCGCAUACGCCCUACGGGGGAAAGCAGGGGAUCUUCGGACCUUGCGCUAAUAGAUGAGCCUAAGUCAGAUUAGCUAGUUGGUGGGGUAAAGGCCUACCAAGGCGACGAUCUGUAGCGGGUCUGAGAGGAUGAUCCGCCACACUGGGACUGAGACACGGCCCAGACUCCUACGGGAGGCAGCAGUGGGGAAUAUUGGACAAUGGGGGGAACCCUGAUCCAGCCAUGCCGCGUGUGUGAAGAAGGCCUUUUGGUUGUAAAGCACUUUAAGCGAGGAGGAGGCUACUGGUAUUAAUACUACCGGAUAGUGGACGUUACUCGCAGAAUAAGCACCGGCUAACUCUGUGCCAGCCGCCGCAGUAACAC